UUGAACGCUGGCGGCAUGCCUUACACAUGCAAGUCGAACGGCAGCACGGGGGCAACCCUGGUGGCGAGUGGCGAACGGGUGAGUAAUACAUCGGAACGUGCCCUGUCGUGGGGGAUAGCACGGCGAAAGCCGUAUUAAUACCGCAUACGACCUACGGGUGAAAGCGGGGGAUCGCAAGACCUCGCGCUAUUGGAGCGGCCGAUGUCAGAUUAGGUUGUUGGUGAGGUAAAGGCUCACCAAGCCGACGAUCCGUAGCUGGUCUGAGAGGACGACCAGCCACACUGGGACUGAGACACGGUCCAGACUCCUACGGGAGGCAGCAGUGGGGAAUUUUGGACAAUGGGGGCAACCCUGAUCCAGCCAUGCCGCGUGCGGGAAGAAGGCCUUCGGGUUGUAAAGCGCUUUUGUCAGGGAAGAAAUCUCGUGGGUUAAUAC
rnacentral:rRNA from 1 species